AGAUUGAACGCUGGCGGCAGGCCUAACGCAUGCAAGUCGAGCGGCAGCACGGGUACUUGUACCUGGUGGCGAGCGGCGGACGGGUGGGUAAUGCCUAGGAAUCUGCCUGGUAGUGGGGGAUAACGCUCGGAAACGGACGCUAAUACCGCAUACGUCCUACGGGAGAAAGCAGGGGACCUUCGGGCCUUGCGCUAUCAGAUGAGCCUAGGUCGGAUUAGCUAGUUGGUGAGGUAAUGGCUCACCAAGGCGACGAUCCGUAACUGGUCUGAGAGGAUGAUCAGUCACACUGGAACUGAGACACGGUCCAGACUCCGUACGGGGGCAGCAGUGGGAAUAUUGGACAAUGGGCGAAAGCCUGAUCCAGCCAUGCCGCGUGUGUGAAGAAGGUCUUCGGAUUGUAAAGCAACUUUAAGUUGGAGGAAGGCAAGUUACCUAAUACGUAUCUGUUUUUGACGUUACCGACAGAAUAAGCACGGCUAACUCUGUGCCAGCA
rnacentral:rRNA from 1 species